GAUGAACGCUGGCGGCGUGCCUAACACAUGCAAGUCGAGCGGAGAAUUGUUGCUUGCAACAAUUCUUAGCGGCGGACGGGUGAGUAACACGUGGGUAACCUGCCCUAAACAAAGGGAUAACAAUGAGAAAUCAUUGCUAAUACCGUAUAAGCUUACACUAUCGCAUGAUAGAGUAAGAAAAGAUUUAUCGGUUUAGGAGGGGCCCGCGUCUGAUUAGCUAGUUGGAGAGGUAACGGCUCACCAAGGCGACGAUCAGUAGCCGACCUGAGAGGGUGAUCGGCCACAUUGGGACUGAGACGCGGCCCAAACUCCUACGGGAGGCAGCAGUGGGGAAUAUUGCACAAUGGAGGAAACUCUGAUGCAGCAACGCCGCGUGAAGGAAGAAGGUUUUCGGAUCGUAAACUUCUAUCUACAGGGAAGAAAAAAAUGACGGUACCUGAGGAAGAAGCCCCGGCUAACUACGUG
rnacentral:rRNA from 1 species